GCACUGGAGAGCUCAGUUGGUUAGGGCCUGGUGCUGAUAACGUCAAGGUUGCAGGUUCGAUCCCUGUAUAGGACA
rnacentral:tRNA from 1 species